GUGCAGAGGAGAUUAAUAUGGCCCCUCUGCAAGGAAGACAUACAAAUUUGUGAUGCAUUCUGUAUAUUU
rnacentral:snRNA from 1 species